UGGCUCAAACACCGUGGAAAACCCAACUGUUCCUCCUAAGGACCCUUUUGUAUUAGACUAUGUAAAGAGUAACUUCAAACCGUUUCGAUCUUGCCCCACCUCCGACACUGCUUAUCAAAACUGGUUCAAUAAGGUAGAAGCUAAGAAAUCCCAGCAAUGGGAAGAAUUAGGUAUCUACAACUUGAUUAAGCCGUCGAAGCCAGGUUUUACUUACAGCCACCCAUUGUUAUUCGCGUCCCUAUAUUUCUGGGACAGUACUUAUAACACUUUCCAUCUCCCUGGUGGAAUGAUUACCCAUACCUUCUUUGACAUAACGGCCAUCACUAGGCUAUCACCAGUGGGAGAAACAUAUAUCCCUGACAACGAAGAACAUUCGAGUAUAAUCGACUUCGAAGUCAAACUAGCAAGCUUUUCAAAGUUUAUCAGCCACUACCAUGCUGAAGGAGACAGUGUGUCUGAUGUAGAACACAUUGCUUUCCUUACCUUAUGGCUGUCAAAAUAUGUCUUUUGCAGCAGAUCCCUACAGGUAGCCAGUAGGUUUAUUCCUCUAGCCAGAGAUUUGCACGAGAAUCGAAGAGUGUGCUUGAGCGAAUUGCUACUAGUUGAUCUUUAUGAGAGCCUAAGGUCAGCUGUUUCGAGCCUAAAAUCUCACACCUCCAAGAAUAUCCUGUUAGCU